rnacentral:rRNA from 1 species
CGCGUAGGCGGUUGUUUAAGUCGGAUGUGAAAGCCCUGGGCUCAACCUGGGAACUGCAUUCGAUACUGGACAACUAGAGUAUGAGAGAGGGAGGUAGAAUUCCAUGUGUAGCGGUGAAAUGCGUAGAUAUGUGGAGGAAUACCAGUGGCGAAGGCGGCCUCCUGGCUCAAUACUGACGCUCAGGUGCGAAAGCGUGGGGAGCAAACAGGAUUAGAUACCCUGGUAGUCC